rnacentral:rRNA from 1 species
AGUGAACGCUGGCGGUAGGCCUAACACAUGCAAGUCGAACGGCAGCACAGUAAGAGCUUGCUCUUACGGGUGGCGAGUGGCGGACGGGUGAGGAAUACAUCGGAAUCUACUUUUUCGUGGGGGAUAACGUAGGGAAACUUACGCUAAUACCGCAUACGACCUACGGGUGAAAGCAGGGGAUCUUCGGACCUUGCGCGAUUGAAUGAGCCGAUGUCGGAUUAGCUAGUUGGCGGGGUAAAGGCCCACCAAGGCGACGAUCCGUAGCUGGUCUGAGAGGAUGAUCAGCCACACGGAAACGGAGACACGGUCCAGACUCCUACGGGGGGCAGCAGGGGGAAAUAUUGAACAAGGGGCGAAAGCCUGAUCCACCCUUACCGCGGGGGUAAAGAAGGCCUUCGGUUUGUAAAGCCUUUUUGUGGGGAAAAAAAAGAAGCGGGUUAAACCCCCGUUGUUCGGAGGUUACCCAAAAAAUAGCACCGGCUAACUUCG